ensembl:lncRNA
AAAUGGGAGGUGGGAUUUGAGAAAUGGGGUUUAGAGGAUUCGGAGCAUUACAGCAAGCAGGUGAGCGACCAAACGGCCCCAAAAUGGCACCAAAAUGGCCCAAAAUGGCACGGAAAUGGCCCAAAAUGGCACCAAAAUGGCACCAAACGGCCCCAAAAUGGCCCCAGAUGGCUCCAAAAUGGCCCAAAAUGGCCCCAGAAUGGGAGGUGGGAUUUGAGAAAUGGGGUUUAGAGGAUUCUGAGCACUACAACAAGCAGGUGAGCGACCAAACGGCCCCAAAACGGCCCCAAAUGGCACCAAAAUGGCCCCAAAAUGGCCCAAAAUGGCACCAAAAUGGCCCAAAAUGGCACCAAACGGCACCAAAUGGCACCAAACGGCACCAAAAUGGCUCCAAAAUGGCCCCAGAUGGCACCAAAAUGGGAGGUGGGAUUUGAGAAAUGGGGUUUAGAGGAUUCGGAGCAUUACAGCAAGCAGGUGAGCGACCACAACGGCCCCAAAACGACCCCAAAACGGCCCAAAAUGGCACCAAAAUGGCCCAAAAUGGCACCAAAAUGGCCCCAAAAUGGCACCAAAUGGCACCAAAAUGGUCCAAAAUGGCACCAAAAUGGCCCCAGAAUGGGAGCUGGGAUUUGAGAAAUGGGGUUUUGAGGAUUCUGAGCACUACAACAAGCAGGUGAGCGACCACAACGGCCCCAAAAUGACCCCAAAUGGCACCAAAAUGGCCCAAAAUGGCACCAAAAUGGCACCAGACGGCACCAAAAUGGCCCAAAAUGGCACCAAAUGGCCCCGAAAUGGCUCCAAAAUGGCCCAAAAUGGCCCCAGAAUGGGAGGUGGGANNNNNNGUUUUGAGGAUUCUGAGCACUGCAACAAGCAGGUGAGCGACCACAACGGCCCCAAAACGACCCCAAAAUGGCACCAAACGGCACCAAAAUGGCCCAAAAUGGCCCCAGAAUUGGAGGUGGGAUUUCAGAAAUGGGGUUUUGAGGAUUCUGAGCACUACAACAAGCAGGUGAGUGACCACAACGGCCCCAAAACGGCCCCAAAAUGGCCCCAAAUGGCACCAAAAUUGGACCAAAAUUGGACCAAAAUUGCACCAAAUGGCUCCAAAACGGCCCAAAAUGGCACCAAAGUUGGACCAAAAUGGGAAGUGGGUUUUCAGGAAUGGGGUUUAGAGGAUUCUGAGCACUGCAACAAGCAGGUGAGCGACCAGAAUGGCCCCCAAAUGGCCCCAAAACGGCCCCCAAAUGGCACCAAAAUGGCCCAAAACAGCCCCAAGCGGCCCCAAAAUUGGACCAAAAUGGGAGGUGGGAUUUCAGUAAUGGGAGUUUUGUGGAUUCUGAGCACUACAACAAGCAGGUGAGUGACCAGAAUGGCCCCAAAACAGCCCAAAAUGGCCCCAAAUGGCCCCAAAAUGGCACCAAAUGGCACCAAAAUGGCCCCAAAUGGCACCAAAACGGCCCCAAAAUGGCCCCAAAUGGCCCCAAAAUGGCCCCAAAUGGCACCAAAUGGCCCCCAAAUGGCUCCAAAACGGCCCAAAAUGGCCCAAGAUGGCCCCAGAAUGGGAGGUGGGAUUUCAGAAAUGGGGUUUUGAGGAAUCUGAGCACUGCAACAAGCAGGUGAGUGACCAGAACUGCACCAAAAUGACCCCAAAUGGCCCCAAAAUGGCCUCAAGGAUCCCAAAAUGGUCCAUAUAACCCCAUUUCCCCUCAUAACCCCCACGUCCGCCCCAUAACCUCCCCAUAACCCCAUUUCCCCCAUAACCCCGUUUCCCCCAUUACCCCCCCAUUACCCUAUAACCCCCUUAUUUCCCC